UUUUCAGGCUGCAGAACAGCUGGUGUUGACAGGCAGAGACAGGAGCAACUGCUGGUGUGCCUUGGUAGCAUUGCACUUGUCUCGGUCUGACAGUGUCGGCAAAACCCUCCAAUGUCUUUC
rnacentral:pre_miRNA from 14 species